rnacentral:misc_RNA from 1 species
GGAAAGCUUAAUAAAAAGAGAAAAGGAAAACAAAAUUCAUAUUUUCCUUUAAUUAUUUGAAAACCCAUCUCCAUUUCCCCCCCCUCUCUCUCUCUCUCAAUGUCAAAGUUCGACUACCCAAGACUGUCCCGCGCCGAAAUAGUGACGGUAUUGGCAGAGUCACAGAUCGCCGCAGUUGUAGAGAACGAUAUAAAGAACCCAAACCCAGAUUUCUUGUCUGAUCUCUAUACCCGACUUCUGAUCCACCUUGAUCUUCUUCACGAAGAAGAUCAAGGGCAGGUGGAGUUCGCUGCUUUGGAGCAGCUUGAGAACCCAGACCAUCACGCGGACUCUGUUAGGACCAUGAAUAUGUAUAUUAGGAUAAGAGAGAUGUUGGGCUUGGUGGAUUGCCCAAUAAAAUUUACCCUCAAAGAUCUUUUGAGGCCACAAGGAGACCGGACUGAAAUUUUUCUAAGUGCAAUACUCAAUUUCUGUCUUCACAAAGAAUCAAAAAUGAAUCUACUAAGACCAAUGGGGGAGGAACUCACACUUCUUGAUGAUCAGCGGAGGGAAUGGGAGGAUAAGAUUUCACAGUUGAAUGCACAAAUAUCUGACUAUAAUGAAGCAAGGGAAAGGGAGUUGCCACUUGUGCAAGAGGUAGAUGCCAACGUUAAAGAAUUGCAUCAGACCAUUGCAGGCCUCAACAAUCACCAGUUGUCACUCAGAGCUUCUUUCCGAAAAUUAAAGGAGAAGACUGGGGAAAUGGACGAGGAGAUUUCAAAAGCAGAGUUUGAUCUGGUACAAAGUGUCCAAGAAAAUGCAAGCCUACGUUCAAAAAUUGUUCAAUCGCCUGAUAAAUUGCAGAGGGCUUUGGAGGAGAAGAAAUCAUUUCGGGAAGAGGCAAGAAAUGCUGAAAGAUUAGCAAUGCAGUCCUUUCAAGAGAAGACUUCCAUUAUAGAGGUUUAUUUGAAGACUUUUAAGAAAAUGUCAAAGCACCUCAAACAAAUGCAGGCUAUACAUGAACAGGUCAGCGCUCCCUCCACCAUCUCCCCCCUCACCCCUCUUUCUCGUUUUGUUCUCUCCAACUUAAUACUAAUAGUAAUUAAUCUUAUAUUGUCAUGUGGAUUCAUAUCUUUCUUUUCCCUGAAGUGGCUUUUGAUUUUGUAUUAAUCAUGCAAUGAUAUUACCAAAAUGUUGCAAUCUGUAAAUUGUAACUGUAAUAGGUAAAUUCUGCAAAGUCCAUCGAGAAAGACUACAAGACCCUAAAAGCUAAGCUGAGCGACGAUGGAGUGUUGGAUAAGUCACUUGAUGCCAAACUAGUUGAACGGCAAGCUAAAGCACAACAGUUGGAUGAGUUGAGAAAGAUAUUGGAGAAAGAAGGAAAUGUGAAGAGUGAAGAGGCUACAAAAGAAUUUAAUAAUGUUAAGUUGGAGGUGGAAUCAAAGAGGGGUGAUCUGGAAGCAAGGCAAAGGAAGGUUGAAUCUGUAGUAUCAGAGGUUGAUGCUAUUACAUCAAAAACAAAUUUGGUGAAAGAAUCUGGAGCUGCUAAAGUGCAAGAGUUAGUUCACAAAUGUGAAGAGGUUGUAGAACAGUUUCAACAAUAUAAGAAUUCUAUGGAGCUUUUGCUGCAGUGAUGAAUGCAUUUGCCAAGUAAUGCAUAGUCUAGUUUGGCAUUAGUGUUUCAACAAUGUAAGAAUUCUGCGUUUGGCGUUGGUGAUGAAUAUAUUUGCCAAGUAAUGCAUAGUGUAGUUUGUUGUUUAAACUUGUAUCAAAGCCACUCACAUAUCCCCUAUUAUGUAAGUCAAGCUAUUAUUGGUGUUCAUUUAUCUCAUCAUUUAUGCUACUUGGUCAAGCAUCCUAAGGAAUGCUCUUCACUGUGUUGGAAAGUGAGGAAAUGCCAUUAAGUGGCAUUGAAAUUGGAGGGCUAAAAUUAUUUUUUACGAAAAAAAUAUCAUUUUAGAGUCUGUUUGGCAUUGUUAUAUUUUACUGUUGC